rnacentral:misc_RNA from 1 species
UCCGAGUUGACCCCGGCAGUCUCCUAUGAGUCCCCACCAUCACGUGCUGGCAACAUAGAACGAGGGUUGCGCUCGUUGCGGGACUUAACCCAACAUCUCACGACACGAGCUGACGACAACCAUGCACCACCUAUCGCAGGCCCCGAAGGACACCGUAUCUCUACGGCUUUUCCUGCGUAGUUCAACCCAGGUAAGGUUCUUCGCGUUGCCUCGAAUUAAGCCACGCGCUCCGCUGCUUGUGCGGGCCCCCGUCAAUUCCUUUGAGUUUUAACCUUGCGGCCGUACUCCCCAGGCGGAGUGCUUAAUGCGUUAGCUGCGACACCGAAGCCCUAAGGGCCCCAACGUCUAGCACUCAUCGUUUACGGCGUGGACUAC